rnacentral:lncRNA from 1 species
GUGAAGACAAAAGACCAGUUAAGCAAAUCAACAGCCAAUGCACAGUAUGCCCAGAGUUUCAACAGAAUUGUGAAAGAAUUAAGCUCUAAUAGGAUCAAAUUCAACCACUGAUAGUAUUUUAGAUAUGAGUAUUUUAGCUCUAAUAUUGAAGAAAACAAUUGCAGAUCCCUAUCUAAUGCCCCAAAUGGUUCAUUUUAUAGUAGAAUAUUUCGGGCAUCAAAUUUUACUUUGUUUCUUUUUAGUCCUCAACACAAUUUGUAUUUUGGCCUAAGGAGUUCUUCAAUUUCUGACUUGUGCCUCAAGUUUGAGUCUGGAAUUAUGUAUUAGUCCAUGCUAGAAAGUUCUAAAAGGAUUCUUAUGAGAUUUUUUAUAAGUUCAAAUCCCUUUUAUACCCUUACUAGCUUUCCUAAAUUACC